UGGGGAAUUUUGGACAAUGGGCGAAAGCCUGAUCCAGCAAUGCCGCGUGUGUGAAGAAGGCCUUCGGGUUGUAAAGCACUUUUGUCCGGAAAGAAAUCCUUGGCUCUAAUACAGUCGGGGGAUGACGGUACCGGAAGAAUAAGCACCGGCUAACUACGUGCCAGCAGCCGCGGUAAUACGUAGGGUGCAAGCGUUAAUCGGAAUUACUGGGCGUAAGCGUGCGCAGGCGGUUUGCUAAGACCGAUGUGAAAUCCCCGGGCUCAACUGGGAACUGCAUUGGUGACUGGCAGGCUAGAGUAUGGCAGAGGGGGGUAAAUUCCACGUGUAGCAGUGAAAUGCGUAGAGAUGUGGAGGAAUACCGAUGGCGAAGGCAGCCCCCUGGGCCAAUACUGACGCUCAUGCACGAAAGCGUGGGGAGCAAACAGGAUUNGAUACCCUGGUAGUCCACGCCCUAAACGAUGUCAACUAGUUGUUGGGGAUUCAUUUCCUUAGUAACGUAGCUAACGCGUGAAGUUGACCGCCUGGGGAGUACGUCGCAAGAUUAAAACUCAAAUGAAUUGNCGGGGUC
rnacentral:rRNA from 1 species